rnacentral:rRNA from 1 species
UGGGGAAUCUUGGACAAUGGGCGCAAGCCUGAUCCAGCCAUGCCGCGUGAGUGAAGAAGGCCUUAGGGUUGUAAAACUCUUUCGCCGGAGAAGAUAAUGACGGUAUCCGGAGAAGAAGCCCCGGCUAACUUCGUGCCAGCAGCCGCGGUAAUACGAAGGGGGCUAGCGUUGUUCGGAAUUACUGGGCGUAAAGCGCACGUAGGCGGGUCUGUAAGUAGAGGGUGAAAUCCCAGGGCUCAACCCUGGAACUGCCUUCUAGACUGCAGGCCUGGAGGUCAGGAGAGGCGAGCGGAAUUCCGAGUGUAGAGGUGAAAUUCGUAGAUAUUCGGAGGAACACCAGUGGCGAAGGCGGCUCGCUGGACUGAUACUGACGCUGAGGUGCGAAAGCGUGGGGAGCAAACAGGAUUAGAUACCCUGUAGUCCCUGAGCGGGCUGGCAAGGCGCAU